rnacentral:rRNA from 1 species
UGGGGAAUAUUGCACAAUGGGCGAAAGCCUGAUGCAGCAACGCCGCGCGAGUGAUGAAGGCCUUCGGGUUGUAAAGCUCUGUCUUUUGGGACGAUAAUGACGGUACCAAAGGAGGAAGCCACGGCUAACUACGUGCCAGCAGCCGCGGUAAUACGUAGGUGGCAAGCGUUGUCCGGAUUUACUGGGCGUAAAGGAUGCGUGAGGCGAUUUUUAAGUGAGAUGUGAAAACCCUAAGCUUAACUUGGGGACUGCAUUUCAUACUGGAAAUCUAGAGUGCGGGAGAGGAGAAUGGAAUUCCUAGUGUAGCGGUGAAAUGCGUAGAGAUUAGGAAGAACACCAGUGGCGAAGGCGAUUCCCUGGACCGUAGCUGACGCUGAGGCAUGAAAGCGUGGGUAGCAAACAGGAUUAGAUACCCUGGUAGUCCACGCCGUAAACGAUGAGUACUAGGUGUAGGAGGUAUCGACCCCUUCUGUGCCGCAGUUAACACAAUAAGUACUCCGCCUGGGAAGUACGAUCGCAAGAUUAAAACUCAAAUGAAUUGACGGGGUCAUAGCUG